GCCGGAGUGGCGGAAUUGGCAGACGCACCAGACUCAAAAUCUGACGAGGAACAGCCCUCGUGAGGGUUCGAGUCCCUCCUCCGGCA
rnacentral:tRNA from 1 species